rnacentral:tRNA from 1 species
UCCCUGGUGGUUCAGAGGUUAAAACGUCUGCCAGGAAUGCAGGAGACCUGGGUUUGAUCCCUGGGUAGGGAA